GUCGAGGGGCAGCAUUUUAGUUUGCUUGCAAACUGAAGAUGGCGACCGGCGCACGGGUGAGUAACACGUAUCCAACCUGCCGAUAACUCCGGGAUAGCCUUUCGAAAGAAAGAUUAAUAYCSGAUGGCAUACUAAUAUCGCAUGAUAUUUUUAUUAAAGAAUUUCGGUUAUCGAUGGGGAUGCGUUCCAUUAGUUUGUUGGCGGGGUAACGGCCCACCAAGACAACGAUGGAUAGGGGUUCUGAGAGGAAGGUCCCCCACAUUGGAACUGAGACACGGUCCAAACUCCUACGGGAGGCAGCAGUGAGGAAUAUUGGUCAAUGGGCGAGAGCCUGAACCAGCCAAGUAGCGUGAAGGAUGAAUGCUCUAUGGGUCGUAAACUUCUUUUAUAUGGGAAUAAAGUAUUCCACGUGUGGAAUUUUGUAUGUACCAUAUGAAUAAGGAUCGGCUAACUCCGUGCCAGCAGCCGCGGUAAUACGGAGGAUCCGAGCGUUAUCCGGAUUUAUUGGGUUUAAAGGGAGCGUAGGUGGAUUGUUAAGUCAGUUGUGAAAGUUUGCGGCUCAACCGUAAAAUUGCAGUUGAAACUGGCAGUCUUGAGUACAGUAGAGGUGGGCGGAAUUCGUGGUGUAGCGGUGAAAUGCUUAGAUAUCACGAAGAACUCCGAUUGCGAAGGCAGCUCACUAGACUGUCACUGACACUGAUGCUCGAAAGUGUGGGUAUCAAACAGGAUUAGAUACCCUGGUAGUCCACACAGUAAACGAUGAAUACUCGCUGUUUGCGAUAUACAGUAAGCGGCCAAGCGAAAGCAUUAAGUAUUCCACCUGGGGAGUACGCCGGCAACGGUGAAACUCAAAGGAAUUGACGGGGGCCCGCACAAGCGGAGGAACAUGUGGUUUAAUUCGAUGAUAC
rnacentral:rRNA from 1 species